GCCCGCUCAGAAACUCAAAUGAAGUUGACGGGGGCCCGCACAAGCGGUGGAGUAUGUGGUUUAAUUCGAUGCAACGCGAAGAACCUUACCUGGUCUUGACAUCCCGGAGACCCUUAGGAAACUAGGGGGUGCUUCCAUCUGGAAGAAUCUGGAGACAGGUGCUGCAUGGCUGUCGUCAGCUCGUGUCGUGAGAUGUUGGGUUAAGUCCCGCAACGAGCGCAACCCUUGCCUUUAGUUGCCAGCAGUUCGGCUGGGCACUCUAAAGGGACUGCCGGUGUUAAACCGGAGGAAGGUGGGGAUGACGUCAAGUCCUCAUGGCCUUUAUGACCAGGGCUACACACGUACUACAAUGGCCGAUACAAAGGGCAGCGACACUGCGAGGUGAAGCCAAUCCCGUAAAAUCGGUCUCAGUCCGGAUUGGAGUCUGCAACUCGACUCCAUGAAGUUGGAAUCGCUAGUAAUCGUGGAUCAGCAUGCCACGGUGAAUACGUUCCCGGGCCUU
rnacentral:rRNA from 1 species